rnacentral:lncRNA from 1 species
GCUCCGUGAACAAGAAUCUGGAUUCUGGUAACAUCUUUCCGAUGACAGCGUGGGAUAACCCACGUCUCUGCCUUUUUAAGGCAGGCAGUUACGUGCACAAAUAUUCCUUUUGCUUUUUUGUCUUUCUCUCUGUGCCUUCUUUUUCCUUUGUCCUACCUACUUCGUAUCCUCACUCAUGUCCUUUUUCCUGAUGCUUUAUCUGUUAGGCCAGGGAUUUUCAAACAUUUCUACCAAAAUGCUCCUAAUAACCCAAAAGGGUAAAAAAGAUUUAGCCUAACGUGCCCGAUAAAUCCAGUGUGAUAUUUCUUUGGCAUCUCAACAUUUGCUUAUUUCUACAAUUCCUGUGAAUUUUGUGUUUGGCUCCGUGAUCAAUCUGCGGGUAGCAGUUACUGUUUGUGGUUCAGACAACAGAGACCCUUCUCAGUAGCUCAGGCAGAGCAGGAACUGAAGGACAACUGUGGAUUUUGUAGGUGACCCAGAGAAUUUGAGCUCUCCCCAUACAGGAACCAUGCCCAAAACACCCUUCAGGGGCUGCCCCAGAAAAUCCCCAGUGGCAUUGACCUUGAACACAGACACCGCAGCUGCCAGACAGGGCUGCUGGCUCUGAGCCCACUGGCAACUGGAGACUGAGGGGCCGCCACUGCUGCAUAUGGAAAUCAGUGCCUCUGCCAUGAUGCUGCCAAAACAUGGAUUCCUCAAGGCCCGCAUCCUCAGUGGCUUUCUGCCAAAUUGAAGUCAUGCAUGAGUGUCUGGAUGGCCUAGCCUAAGACACAACCCAUAGCCCAGCUACAAGGGGAGAUGGAAGAGCCAAUUCUGGCAGAACCCACCAUGUAGGACAUUUUCCCAACAGAGAAAAGACUUUCAGAACAUGCUAAGUGUCACAAAACGCCUCACUUAUACACUCUCUGCCUUAACAUGAUUUUUUAACCACGAAUCUGCAAGUGAAAUGAAUGUUCCAGAAACAGACACAUUUUCCUAGGCUUUGUGUACCUGCUGCAGUGUGUGAAUAGUCUCAGAGACACAGGUUCUCCAGGUUGAAAAGUCAAGCCUUAGACCCUCCAAAGGCAUUCCCCGGCCUCUCAAGGCCACCUGGGAGUAAAGCGUCAUCAUCCCCAGAAAGAGAGCAGAGUUUCUGUCUCCCAGGAGUGGAAGUGUGUUCGAGGCAUUGGCAUAGUGCUACAUUACUGCCACAUUGGACCAGUGGAGCGGACCCCCUGUUUUUCACUGUGUCAGUAACCAGUCCCACUGUGAAGAUCAUCCAAUAUUUUAUUUUAUUUAUUUUUUUUAUUUUUUUGCUUUUAGGGCAACACCUGUGGCCUAUGGAAGUUCCCAGGCUAGGGGCUGAAUCAGAGCUGCAGCAGCUGCCCUAUGCCACAGCCACAGCAACACAGGGUCUGAGCCACAUCUGCAGCCUACACCAUAGUUCACGGCAAUGCUGGAUCCUUAACCCACUGAUUGAGGCCAGGGAUCUAACCUGCACCCUCAUUGUUACCAGUCAAGUUCAUCAUCAUUGAACUACAGCGGAACUUCUCAUCUAGUGUUUUAAUUGGUGUUGGUUUCCAUGAUUUCCUUCUGCCCUUUCCCAUGCAGGCUUAGCACCUAUCUGCUGAAGAUAAUUCAGGCCCACUCAGCGCAUCUCAUGUCCAGUUUUGUUUACUGUAAAGCAUAAAGCAUGGUCCGCAAUGCCUGCCAGGAAUGGAACACACUGGGGGAAAGCCAUAAAAGGACUGUUACUCUUUGCUUGAAACUUUGAUUUUUCUUCCUUAUACAUCCUGAAAUCUCAUCAUCUUCAUUAGCAGAAAGCCCCAAGGCCAUCAAUGAAUCUUUGGCCCUGGGACUGAAGGUAGCAGAGUUGGUGCCAUGAAGGUUCGCAUCUUCUCUGCAAAACACAGGCUGACAUUCUCCUAAAGGCAAAGGCCUGUCAUUGUUUGGAACCGAAUCUCUCUUGCAAACCCUCUCCAGGGAGUGGACUCUGAAGCCACUGGCCAGAUUUCCAAUAUGUACAUGCAGAACGAGAGAGAUUUUUCCAGUUGGUCACUAGAAAUAGAACCCAGGCAAGAGCCCUAAAAUUGGAAAGUACAUUUCCUAGCAGUUUUUGGCCCUAAAAAUAGAAAGGUAGCUUUGUUGGGCUAGAGGAAGGGAGGGGAGGAAGGCUGCCUUGUCUUGACCUGGGGAGACCCACUCCCCUGCUUGGGGUGGAGCCCCGUCUCCUGAGAUCUGACUUCAAAGCCCUGAGCACGAGCAUGGCCCUCCUGCUGCCCAGCCCUGCUGUAUUCACCCAAAAGGUGUGACCCUCCCAUUUCUCACCAUUCUGCCCAGACCCCUGUGCUAGGUGGCCAAAGCUUGCGUCUGGCACAGGUCUGGAGUCAGCAGUACUAGGUUUUCUAGCUCCAAGAAAAACCAAUGCAUUUGAGGAGGCAGUAGAUAGAUACUUAAGGUAAUGCAGGUGUCUUUGCUGAAUGGACUAGGAUGUGCGUCCCUCUGUUCUCACGUGGAUCUGAAAUGUGACUUGUGUUUCCUGAGAGCCGACCAGACAGGCUGAUGAAAAUAGGAUGCCACUGACACCAAUAAAUCACGUUUUACUGGUCUCACCUGCUAUUAUACACUUCAAAUUUUCCAAAGUUUCACUCAAGUAUUUUUGAGCUUUCUUGGGGUUCUAGCAAAUGCUCUCAGAAAGAAGCCCUUGUCAUUUCUAUUUGAUGCCUGCCUGGUCCACCUGGGGCCUCUUCAAAUGGAGUCCCAUGUCCAUGAUUCUUCAGCCAACGGCCACUGCGAGAAAAAUCAAGCCCAAGACUUCCUCUGUGCAUUCAGGGCCAGCAGUCGGUCCCAUGCACCUGGAAAUCCUUUCUGCUCAGGUUUUCCUCACAGCUUGUCCCUCCCCGGAAUUCUCACACUUAGUCUGUAUAGGCUGGGCUCGCCCUUGUGGCCAAGUGACUGGCCAUACUGGAUCCGGCAUCAUGCAACCUUUCCUGCCAUGACUGCUUUGUUAUCAGGCCAAGCUUCUCUCUCCUUCAGGGUCCAGUCCCAGCUCUGCUGCUGCCUUGCUGAGUGAUCUCAGGCCAAGCAUUUAACCUUUCUGGGUUUCAACUUUCUUGUCUGUAAAACACGGGAGAUGUGCUAGCUUCUUCCUGUACUCCCUUCUGUUCUAGGAUUUGGUGGCCUUAACCAGUACCUGAGAAAGUACUAGUUGCCUCUACGAGCUAAGCAGCGACCAGGUGCUCUGUAAGCAAGGACUUGCUAUUUUCUUUCUUCUCUCUGACAAGAAACAGGCCCCUGCUGGUCACUCUGUUCAAAACCCUCCAGUGAGAGUUCCUGUCGUGGCGCAGUGGUUAACGAAUCGACUAGGAACAUGAGGUUGCGGGUUCGUCCUGCCUUGUCAGUGGUAACGAUCUGGUGCGUGAGUGUGGUGUAGGUGCAGACACGGCUCGGAUCCGCGUGUGGCUCUGGCGUAGGCGGUGGCUACAGCUCCGAUUCGACCCUAGCUGGAAUCUCCAUAUGCCGGAGGGCCAAAAAUAGCAAAAAAAAAAAACAAAAAACAAAAAACCCUCCAGCGGCUUCCAUCAGAAAUAGAAAAACUCCAGACUCAGUGUCAUCCUCUCUUGGUCGACAUCACCUCAUACUUUUUUCACUCUUGUUUAAUACAUUCCAGAUGCACCAGCCUUCAUUUAAUCCCUGGCACAUUCUGUGUCUUUUAUUCCAAGGCAUUUGCACAUGCCCAUCCUUCUCUCUGGAAGGCUCUUCUCCCAGACCCCCCACGACUGGUCCUCUCUCAUCAUUCAGACUCGCAGGGUGCCUCACUUAGCAUCUUUCAUCCCCUCCCCGCAGCUCAUCCUCUCCAGGGCUUGAUAAAGUAUGGCCCAAGGGUCCAGUCUGUUCACAGCCACUUGUUCACAUGUUGCCUAUGGCUGCCUUUGUGUGGCACCUGCAGAGCUGGGUCCUGCAUGUGUUCAGUAGCAUCAGAGACCACGAGGUCCCUAAGGCUGAAACUAUUUAGUGUCUGGCGCUUGUCAGGAAGAGUUUGCCCAUCGCUGCCUUUCCUACAGCCUCCUUUAUCCGCAGGACCUAUCAGCAUCUGAACUGAUGAAUCAGUCUGCUUCCUUCCUUUUUGUUUUUCUCCCCCCACCAGAAUGGAAGCAUCCUCCACAUCCAAGGUCUCAUCUGUCUCACCCUGAGUGCUUUCGCUAUUUCCCCGUGCAGUGCCUGUCACAGCCUGUACAGAACAGUAGCCCAGGUGGCGUCAGGUUGGCUUCCUUUUGCUUCAUUGCAGCAACCACAACAUUCGGUAUAAAUCCUAAGAUCCGCCUCCCCACCUCCAUGGUCACGUUCACAUCCCAGGUCCCAAUUGCCUAGGUCUGCUCUUCUCCUGCCCCUUGCCCCUCUUUUGUUCCUUUCCUAUUCUCCUGUGAUGCGGUCAGUGCCAGUGUCUUCUGGCCUUUCACCCCACGUGCCUUUUCAGCCCGGGCCUCAGCCCUCGGGGACGCCAGCAGCCCUCCAGAGCACAGCCCAUUGUUAGGAGGUCAACCAAGGUCAAGGCUGUGUUCCUCUCAGCAUAUUUCUGGGGGCGGGGAGUCUGUGAGGCGGGAUGGUUUGAGGUGUCUCAAAGACUCCGCGCUUUCAGACAUUGUAGAGCUCUUCUGUUUGGGACUAUUUGACAAAUGAAUCCAGGCUCUCAGGGAAUGGAAGGCAGGGGCCAAGAGAAGAUUCAUCCAAGAAGCUCUGGAUGUCAGAUUUGGAGGAGUUUUUUGGAAUCAUCCGGUGCUUCUCAGACCUCCACCAGAACCCCCCCCCAGCGGCAAGUGAGAAUGAUGUUUCCCCAGCAAAGAAUGAAGGUGGUA